UUGCACUUUGCUGACGAGUGGCGGACGGGUGAGUAAUGCUUAGGAACGUGCCUUUUGGAGGGGGAUAACCAUUGGAAACGAUGGCUAAUACCGCAUAAUACCUGCGGGUCAAAGGGGCUUAAUUGCUCCGCCGAGAGAGCGGCCUAAGUGAGAUUAGCUAGUAGGAGGGGUAAAGGCUCUUCUAGGCGACGAUCUCUAGCUGUUCUGAGAGGAAGGACAGCCACACUGGGACUGAGACACGGCCCAGACUCCUACGGGAGGCAGCAGUGGGGAAUAUUGCACAAUGGGCGCAAGCCUGAUGCAGCCAUGCCGCGUGUGUGAAGAAGGCCUUCGGGUUGUAAAGCACUUUCAGUCAGGAGGAAAGGAUAAUCAGGCAAUGGGUUAUUUAUGACGUUACUGACAGAAGAAGCACCGGCUAACUCCGUGCCAGCAGCCGCGGUAAUACGGAGGGUGCGAGCGUUAAUCGGAAUAACUGGGCGUAAAGCGCACGCAGGCGGUUUGUUAAGCUAGAUGUGAAAGCCCAGCGCUCAACGUUGGAAGGUCAUUUAGGACUGGCAAGCUAGAGUCUCGGAGAGGGGAGUGGAAUUCCAGGUGUAGCGGUGAAAUGCGUAGAUAUCUGGAGGAACAUCGGUGGCGAAGGCGGCUCUCUGGCCGAGGACUGACGCUCAUGUGCGAAAGUGUGGGUAGCGAACAGGAUUAG
rnacentral:rRNA from 1 species